CGCGUAGGUGGUCCUAUGUGUCUACCGUGAAAGCACACGGCUCAACCGUGUCGGGUCGGUGGAAACUGUAGGACUUGAGGCUGGGAGGGGCUGGUGGAAUUCCCUGUGUAGCGGUGAAAUGCGUAGAGAUGGGGGAGAACACUCGUGGCGAAGGCGGCCAGCUGGACCAGUCCUGACACUGAGGCGCGACAGCGUGGGGAGCAAACAGGAUUAGAUACCCUGGUAGUCCACGCCGUAAACGAUGGGCACUAGGUGCCGGCGGUAUUAAUCCCGUCGGUGCCGGCGCUAACGCAGUAAGUGCCCCGCCUGGGGAGUACGGUCGCAAGGCUGAA
rnacentral:rRNA from 1 species